ACGUGAUCUGAGUUCAGACCGGAGCAAUCCAGGUCAGUUUCUAUCUAUAAAGGGCUUUUUCUAGUACGAAAGGACCAAAAAAGCAUGGCCAAUGCUAAAGUAAGCCAUCAAAACCUACUUAUGACCUCCACUCAAUAAAUAAAUAACCUAACAUACACCUCAAAAUAAGAGCC
rnacentral:rRNA from 1 species